AUGAUGACUCUCGGCAACGGAUAUCUCGGCUCUCGCAUCGAUGAAGAACGUAGCGAAAUGCGAUACCUGGUGUGAAUUGCAGAAUCCCGUGAACCAUCGAGUCUUUGAACGCAAGUUGCACCCGAGGCCACCCGAUCGAGGGCACGCCUGCCUGGGCGUCACGC
rnacentral:rRNA from 1 species